rnacentral:rRNA from 1 species
AACGAACGCUGGCGGCAGGCCUAACACAUGCAAGUCGAACGCCCUAGCAAUAGGGAGUGGCAGACGGGUGAGUAACACGUGGGAACGUGCCCUUCGGUUCGGAAUAACUCAGGGAAGCUUGAGCUAAUACCGGAUACGUGCGAGAGCAGAAAGAUUUAUCGCCGAAGGAUUGGCCCGCGUCCGAUUAGCUAGUUGGUGAGGUAAUGGCUCACCAAGGCGACGAUCGGUAGCUGGUCUGAGAGGAUGACCAGCCACACUGGGACUGAGACACGGCCCAGACUCCUACGGGAGGCAGCAGUGGGGAAUAUUGGACAAUGGGCGCAAGCCUGAUCCAGCCAUGCCGCGUGAGUGAUGAAGGCCCUAGGGUUGUAAAGCUCUUUCGCCAGGGACGAUAAUGACGGUACCUGGAUAAGAAGCCCCGGCUAACUUCGUGCCAGCCGCCGCAGUAA